rnacentral:rRNA from 1 species
AUUGAACGCUGGCGGCAGGCCUAACACAUGCAAGUCGAGCGGAUGAAGGGAGCUUGCUCCUGGAUUCAGCGGCGGACGGGUGAGUAAUGCCUAGGAAUCUGCCUGGUAGUGGGGGAUAACGUCCGGAAACGGGCGCUAAUACCGCAUACGUACUGAGGGAGAAAGUGGGUGAUCUUCGGACCUCACGCUAUCAGAUGAGCCUAGGUCGGAUCAGCUAGUUGGUGGGGUAAAGGCCUACCAAGGCGACGAUCCGUAACUGGUCUGAGAGGAUGAUCAGUCACACUGGAACUGAGACACGGUACAGACUCCGACGGGAGGCAGCGGUGGGGAAUAUUGGACAAUGGACGAAAGCCUGAUCCAGCCAUGCCGCGUGUGUGAAGAAGGUCUACGGAUUGUAAAGCACUUUAAGUUGGGGGGAAGGGCAGUAAGUUAAUACCGUGCUGUUUUGACGUUACCAACAGAAUAAGCACCGGCUAACUUCGUG